UCGACCUGAGCUCAGGCAAGACUACCCGCUGAACUUAAGCAUAUCAAUAAGCGGAGGA
rnacentral:rRNA from 2 species